UGGGCUCCCACAAGGCUGUUCAUGGUUUCCUCUCUCCUCAUCAUGGCAGGGCAGUGUAACCUUUGAGGAUGUGGCUGUGUACUUCUCCUGGGAGGAAUGGGCUCUCCUUGAUGAGGCACAGAAACUCCUGUACUGCGAUGUGAUGCUGGAGAACUUUGCACUUAUGGCCUCCCUAGGUUAUUGGCGUGGAGUGGAAGAUGAGGAUGCACCUUCUGAGCAGAGUGUUUCUGUAGAAGGAGUGUCACAGGUAUCGAUGACCUUCAAGUACUUGGCCAUGACCUUCACUUGGGAGGAGUGGGGGCAGUUGGAUAUGGCUCAGAAGACCCUAUAUCGGGAAGUAAUGCUGGAGACCUGUGGGCUCCUGGUCUCACUA
rnacentral:lncRNA from 1 species